rnacentral:lncRNA from 1 species
AUAACUGGGGAGGGAGUCAUUGAUGAAGACCGGGAUGGCAUCGGGGCAAGAAGAGGGUCUGCACCUUUAAUUCUUUUUGGCAUGGAAACAGUAGUAGAUGAUUUCAAUUGAUCCUUCCUCAUCCUUUCAUCCAUCUUUGCCGGAUUGAACCUCAUCUCUGCAUCAAAUAUAUGAUUUAGAACAUUGGAGACAAAAAAAAGUUAAAAAUAAAACAAUCCAAUCUUACCCCAAGGAGAGUACAAACUGAUUCCGAUGUUAUACAAUGCC